rnacentral:rRNA from 1 species
UUACGGGAGGCAGCAGUGGGGAAUCUUCCGCAAUGGACGAAAGUCUGACGGAGCAACGCCGCGUGAGUGAAGAAGGUCUUCGGAUUGUAAAACUCUGUUUUUUGGGAAGAACGGUCUCUAUGUGAAUAAUGUAGAGAAUUGACGGUACCAAAGGAGGAAGCCCCGGCUAACUACGUGCCAGCAGCCGCGGUAAUACGUAGGGGGCAAGCGUUGUCCGGAAUUAUUGGGCGUAAAGAGCGCGCAGGCGGCUAUUUAAGUCUACCGUGAAAGCUUACGGCUCAACCGUAACAGGCCGGUGGAUACUGGAUGGCUUGAGGGCAGGAGAGGAAAGUGGAAUUCCCAGUGUAGCGGUGAAAUGCGUAGAGAUUGGGAGGAACACCAGUGGCGAAGGCGACUUUCUGGACUGUUACUGACGCUGAGGCGCGAAAGCUGGGGGAGUGAACGGGAUUAGAUACCCCGGUAGA